GAUUUCAACUGAAAAGGUUAUCAACAACAAAGUUGAAUAACUCAUCAAGAUCUAAAACUUUUAUUUUGAUCAUUUCUUCAUCCGACAAAGUGAUACUAACAUUGUUUCCAAAAUUGACGUAUCUCUUAUCCGGUUUUAUAAACUAUAACACAUAUAUGUAAAAUUUGUGAACAAUGUUACUAACAUUUUAUCGGAUGAAGAAAUAACAAAAAUAAAAGUUUUAGAUCUUGAUGAGUUAUACAAUUUUGUUGUUGAUGACUUUUUUAAUUGAAAUC
rnacentral:pre_miRNA from 1 species